rnacentral:rRNA from 1 species
AUCUCUGUAGAGUCUGCAUAUCAAUAAGCGGAGGAAAAGAAACUAACUAGGAUUCCCUCAGUAACGGCGAGUGAAGCGGGAAGAGCUCAAAUUUGAAAUCUUCAAGGUUUUACCUUGACGAAUUGUAGUUUAAAGAAGUGUUUUCUGUUGGAGUUUUGGUAAAAGUUCUUUGGAAUAGGACAUCAUAGAGGGUGAGAAUCCCGUAUUUGACCAUUAUUUCCAGCUUUGUGAUACACUUUCAAAGAGUCGGAUUGUUUGGGAAUGCAGUCCAAAAUGGGUGGUAAAUUUCAUCUAAAGCUAAAUAUUGGCGAGAGACCGAUAGCGAACAAGUACCGUGAGGGAAAGAUGAAAAGAACUUUGAAAAGAGAGUUAAACAGUACGUGAAAUUGUCAAAAGGGAAGCGUUUGACACCAGUGUUGUCUCUACGAAAAUCAAUUUAUGAUGGCUUGAUGCUAAGCUUUAAGACUUUAUCCGCUUGUUGUUUAGUUUUCUUGUCUUUGUGAGUGCACUUUUCGUGGAACAAGUCAACAUCAAUUUCUUUUGCUGUAAAAGGGUAAGAGGAAGGUGGCUUCGGCUUCGGUUGAAGUGUUUAUAGCCUUUUAUCUCUGCAGUCGGAGAGAUUGAGGUCUGCAGCGUAGACUCUUCGGGGUUAGAUACGUCGGUGCUAAGCUAUAGCUUUUCAUAGACAACUUGUUGACUAUGUUUAGUCAUGUGGCUUACCCGCUGGCGCUAUUUUACCUACGCUUAGGAUGUUGAGUCAUCACACAUCUCU